CAAACAUUCUUAAUUUCAUUCAAAAUAAGAACAAGUCGUGUAUUGUCUUUGUCAUCGUUUGCGUUGAAAUAAUGACAAAACAAUUGAUUUGCUUUGUUUUGCUGGUUCAGAUUUCUCUCUUUCAGUCUGAAAUUUGUCUUGGUGAAUCCGGAAAACAUUGCUGUGUUGGAUUUAGAUGGAACGAUACACAAAAGAAAUGUUUACCAUGUGUUAGCGGAUAUUAUGGAAUUAACUGUAGCUCGGAGUGCAGCUUUCCUCUGUAUGGAAUGAACUGUAUGUCAAACUGUAACUGCUCUGAGAACGACUGUAAUCGUGUGUACGGUUGUUUAAUGUCUA